rnacentral:rRNA from 1 species
GACGUAGGGCGCGAGCGUUGUCCGGAUUUAUUGGGCGUAAAGAGCUCGUAGGCGGUUGGGUAAGUCGGGUGUGAAAACUCCAGGCUCAACUUGGAGACGCCACCCGAUACUGCUCUGACUUGAGUUCGGUAGGGGAGUGGGGAAUUCCUGGUGUAGCGGCGAAAUGCGCAGAUAUCAGGAGGAACACCGGUGGCGAAGGCGCCACUCUGGGCCGAAACUGACGCUGAGGAGCGAAAGCGUGGGUAGCAAACAGG